UAAUACGGAGGGUCCAAGCGUUGUCCGGAAUCACUGGGUGUAAAGGGUGCGCAGGCGGGCUUAUAAGUCAGGGGUGAAAGCCACCGGCUCAACCGGUGAAUUGCCCUUGAUACUGUAAGUCUUGAGUCCUGGAGGGGCUGUCGGAAUUCGUGGUGUAGCGGUGAAAUGCGUAGAUAUCACGAGGAACACCGGAGGUGUAAACGGACAGCUGGACAGGUACUGACGCUCAGGCACGAAAGCGUGGGGAGCGAACAGGAUUAGAUACCCUGGUAGUCCACGCCGUAAACGAUGAGUGCUCGAUGCUGCAUCGCUCUAGAUGCAGUGUCUAAGCUAACGCGUUAAGCACUCCACCUGGGGAGUACGCUCGCAAGGGUG
rnacentral:rRNA from 1 species